rnacentral:rRNA from 1 species
CAGUAGCCACGGUAAUACGUAGGUGGCAAGCGUUGUCCGGAAUUAUUGGGCGUAAAGGGCUCGCAGGCGGUUUCUUAAGUCUGAUGUGAAAGCCCCCGGCUUAACCGGGGAGGGUCAUUGGAAACUGGGAAACUUGAGUGCAGAAGAGGAGAGUGGAAUUCCACGUGUAGCGGUGAAAUGCGUAGAGAUGUGGAGGAACACCAGUGGCGAAGGCGACUCUCUGGUCUGUAACUGACGCUGAGGAGCGAAAGCGUGGGGAGCGAACAGGAUUAGAUACCCCAGUAGUCCCUGUCUCUUAUAC